rnacentral:pre_miRNA from 1 species
UUAGUACUCCCUCCGUCUCAAAAUUCUUGUCUUAGAUUUGUCUAAAUACAGAUGUAUCAAGUCACGUUUUAGUAUUAGAUACAUCCGUAUCUAGAUAAAUUUAAGAUAAGAAUUUUGGGACGAAGGGAGUAGUAC